GAUGAACGCUGGCGGCGUGCCUAAUACAUGCAAGUCGAGCGAACAGACGAGGAGCUUGCUCCUCUGACGUUAGCGGCGGACGGGUGAGUAACACGUGGAUAACCUACCUAUAAGACUGGGAUAACUUCGGGAAACCGGAGCUAAUACCGGAUAAUAUAUUGAACCUCAUGGUUCAAUAGUGAAAGUCGGUUUUUCUGUCACUUAUAGAUGGAUCCGCGCCGCAUUAGCUAGUUGGUAAGGUAACGGCUUACCAAGGCAACGAGGCGUAGCCGACCUGAGAGGGUGAUCGGCCACACUGGAACUGAGGCACGGUCCAGACUCCGACGGGAGGCAGCAGUAGGGAAUCUUACGCGAUGGGGGAAAGCCUGAUGGAGCAAAGCCGGGUGAGUGAUGAAGGAGUUCGGACCGGAAAGCUCUGAUGUUAGGAGAGAAGAAAUGUGUAAGUACCCAUGAACGUCUUGACGGUACCGGAUGAGAAAGCCACGGCUAACUACGUG
rnacentral:rRNA from 1 species